AAGUGACUCUGCAGCAUUUUGAUUUGGUCUGACGAGGGACUUUGAGAGGAGGAGAGGGGAGGGAGGAGAUGUGUUUGUGUUGGAGAGAAAAAUCCCUCCUGCCCUCUUUUUCUUUCUUGCUCUCACUGUCUUUUGUUCCUGAUCUCGGUCUACCCGGUGGCUUGACAGGCAGAUGGAAGCGAUUAUACCGUAAUAAUAAACCAUGGGAGGAAACCAUGGGAGAGACGGAGAGAUGACAGAGGAGGAGAAGGGAGGAGGAGAAGGGGAGAUCUUCGGAGCGCUCACGGGCCAGCACACGUGUCGAUCAGGCCCACGGAUCAGCGCCUGUGCUCAUUUCCAUCACCUUGACGGCUCAGACCUACAUCGCACCACCGGGAAAGGGAUCAGGAAUAUGGCUUCUUUACCCAAGAUAUGUAAUUCCUUUCCCAGAGAUGUGACAUCUUUGAUCACAGCUUGAUUAGACUUGAUUCACUAUGCAGAUGUUUCACACUUCGAAGCCUGAUAUUGAAAGAUGAACUCAUUAAAACAACAAAAUCAUUUCUUAUUCUUCCAUCCUCUCAUUCUCCAUGGCAGGCCUGUACCUCUCACAGCCUUUCAGCACCCAUUGCAGCUUGCAAGACGUUGCAGCGCUGCCCUGCAGUCGCCCCAACAACAGCCCUCAUCAGCUGCACCUCUGGUGCUGUUCUGGUUCAGCAUCACAUCACCAUCAAACAUGGACUGGUGCUUGUUUAAUACAAUGAGUAAGCCAUCACAGAGAAGGCAUCGGACUGAGUAAAUGUCAGGACAGAUCUGGAAAAGACAUGAAGCACCUGCAUGUGAAAAAAAAAGAAUGAAUAAUGUUGGCAUCAAAUGGUGAAAAAGUCUUUGUUGUAAAUAGAGAGAAGUGACUGGAGCUUGGUGGGGGGACAGAGGUUGAUGGGUUAAUGUAUAGAGUGUGCUUACGCAUGAAUGUCAGCGUGUGUGUGUGUGUGUGUGUGUGUGUGUGCGUCAGGGGCAGCUGGUCUACGGGUGAGGGAGUGAGCCGUCACCCAGAGGCAAGCCCCCUCCACCCCCCUGCAGCACCACCACACCCUCCCCCUCACCUUUAACCUCUCACCCUUCACCCUAACAGCAGCAUAAUACGUCUGUUGAGGGAUCAGGGUAGGCAAGGUUGCUUUCUGCUCACAUCAGCAUCCUCUCCGUCCUCCAAAUUGCCUUUGAAAACACUAAGUACCACCGGGGGGGGUGCGGGGGGGGGGGGGCAACUGAUAUACCCUGUUUUGUUCUGUUUUCCAUGGUUGCAGCAUAUGCUUGGCCGACACACCUACACUAACUACAUGAAUUGUGGAAUCUGUUGUGUAAUCCUACUGAGACCCUGAAGGUGUGGUCACAGUGAACAGAGAGCCAAUGUUAGAGGUGGUGCAGAUUGGAGAUUGUCAAUGGAAAAACACAAGCAAACAGCCUCAGACUGACUCACUCACUCAUUUUUACAUACGAAGAGCGAUAGAAGGUACAAAUAUUGACACAAUUCCCUCAAUUCCGACUUUGGAAAAGUGUGGUGGUAGAGGGGUUCAGAUGCUGUUCGAUGAUCUGACAAGCACUUGAAACACAAUGACCCCUCACUGGUAGACAAAAAGGAGAUUUUAUUCAGUGGUAUAAGAAUUGGAAGGGUCUUUGAUAGUCAGAAAUGAACACACUGGUUUGUGGAAAUGUAGUGGAACCAAAUGUGUCACCACUGACAAUCAUAUAAACCGACAUUCGUGCUCUUACCCUGUCCUGAUCUGCUUUGUCUCCUAGGUCUGGGGAGUCACUGCAGUCAUCACAGUAAAACAACCAUGAUUUCA